UGGCCUGUCUCUUCCUUACAUAGCACCCUGCACCGCUCAUACCAGGCAAUAUUUUCAUCAGAUCAUAAGAUGUCAUUAUCCAUGAUGUGAAAGGAAACCUGGUUACCAGAACGAUGCCUGUUGUUAUUGACAACCCAGGAGAAAGUUAUGUUUUGGUUGAUCCAGGGGUUGUGAGUGCACUCUGUUCUGCCAGCGCUGUUACAAAAGCUUCUGUAGCUAGUGCUGAAGAUAGCUGAAGAUAGAUGUAAACUUAUAUUUUUCCAUGAUCCACAACACUUUGGGUUUGGUAAGUUAUCAGUGUGUGAGUGUUUGUGGUUAAUGCUAGAAUCAUCAAGUUAUCCCCACCUCUAUGUCCCAUGCCAGAUCCAUUGUCAAACAGGGUCAAGGUCAAUUACAAGCCUAGCAACCAUAUUCUUGAGCU
rnacentral:sRNA from 1 species